rnacentral:rRNA from 1 species
GAUGAACGCUGGCGGCGUGCUUAACACAUGCAAGUCGAACGGAAAGGCCCAAGCUUGCUUGGGUACUCGAGUGGCGAACGGGUGAGUAACACGUGGGUGAUCUGCCCUGCACUUCGGGAUAAGCCUGGGAAACUGGGUCUAAUACCGGAUAGGACCACAUUUUGGAUGGUGUGGUGGAAAGUUUUUCGGUGUGGGAUGAGCUCGCGGCCUAUCAGCUUGUUGGUGGGGUAAUGGCCUACCAAGGCGUCGACGGGUAGCCGGCCUGAGAGGGUGUACGGCCACAUUGGGACUGAGAUACGGCCCGGACUCCUACGGGAGGCAGCAGUGGGGAAUAUUGCACAAUGGGCGCAAGCCUGAUGCAGCGACGCCGCGUGGGGGAUGACGGCCUUCGGGUUGUAAACUCCUUUCGCUAGGGACGAAGCGCAAGUGACGGUACCUGGAGAAGAAGCACCGGCUAACUACGUG